rnacentral:rRNA from 1 species
GACAGAGGGUGCAAACGUUGUUCGGAAUUACUGGGCGUAAAGCGCGUGUAGGCGGCUAUGCAAGUCGGAUGUGAAAGCCCUCGGCUCAACCGGGGAAGUGCACCCGAAACUGCAAAGCUAGAGUCUCGGAGAGGAUCGUGGAAUUCUCGGUGUAGAGGUGAAAUUCGUAGAUAUCGAGAGGAACACCGGUGGUGAAGGCGGCGAUCUGGACAAUGACUGACGCUGAGGUGCGAAAGCGUGGGGAUCAAACAGG